rnacentral:lncRNA from 1 species
CCAGACACUAAGCUUUGGAGACAAAGAAAAUAGGAAGGAACAUGGAAAGUCAAAUCUUGUGGCCAUCUAGCACGGAAAAAUUCAAGUACCUGUUCCCAAAGAAGAAUCGAUCAAGGGAUUAACUCUAAAAUAUCCUGGUUAGUUAAAUUAUACCCCCCUUCAUCAUCCCAUAAAAUCAUUCCUUUCUUUUUUUUUCUUUUUUAUAGUGAAAUAUUCGAAAUGCAGAAAAUCUGGUGUCCAGUAGAAAACAACUGCAGCUAGAGGGCAAAGUGGAUAGAAGGCUGGACUUGGAGUCAAGGAAAUCUGAGUUCUAAUCCAUCCUCAGUUCUGGUGAAAAUGUGAUCCCAGCAUCUAUCAUCUAGAGUACCUCCUGAGUGGAAAAGGGAUUAAGCUUUGAACUAAUUGGUGAUGUGUAUAGCUAAACAGAUGACCAGCCCUGGAGCAGAGAAGCCACUUUCCCCAGCAUGUUGGCAGAGAUCUGAAAAAACAGAGCAAAAGGAAUGGAAUCUCUCAUGCAAUCAUUUUCCUGCCUUGGGCUUAUAUUGGAGCAACCUCCUUUUACAAGCUUCAAUGACUUUGGUUCACUGGGUCUUGGUUUUGAGGAUUGUAUGGUCAUUCUCCUUUGUAGUAUUUUUUCCUACCUGGCUGCAGUUUGGUGGUAUUCUAACAAAAAUGGAGUAUGCCAGUUGCCUCUUACAAAUUAGAGUCAACAUUGAUGAAAGAAAGAAGCCUUCUAAAGCUCCAUGCCUUCUGCUACCUCAACAACAGCCCUAAAAAGAACCCUCCAAGUAAAAGCAGAAGAACAGAUGCCUGGAGAAACCAUCAUUGCCCCUAAUUGGGGCCUUGACUCGAGAUCUCUGGUGCUGAGAGAGGAGACCUUUGUCCUGCUUCCCUCACCUCGGUGUCUGGUGGCAUGUCUGUCUUCUGUCCUGGAUACUGCAUGUCUGUCCCCAACCCCGGCCCCAAGUGUUCUUCCUUCUGGUUCUCAACGCUCUGCACUUUGUGUCCUUGAACUAAGUGCCUGCAAAUUCACAUUAUGUAAAAAUGGCUUUACUUGUUAUGGGCCAUUUAUGUAAAGUAAGAACGGUCUGUGUUUGUAUCCCUGGUGCUUCAAAGAGUGCCUGGCACAUAGUAAGGGAUUAAUAAAUGCUUAUUG